rnacentral:rRNA from 1 species
AUGCAGUCGAACGGAAAGGCCCUGCUUGCAGGGUACUCGAGUGGCGAACGGGUGAGUAACACGUGGGUGAUCUGCCUCGUACUUCGGGAUAAGCUUGGGAAACUGGGUCUAAUACCGGAUAUAACCUUCCUUUAGUGUGGGGGGUGGAAAGUUUUUUCGGUACGAGAUGAGCCCGCGGCCUAUCAGCUUGUUGGUGGGGUAAUGGCCUACCAAGGCGUCGACGGGUAGCCGGCCUGAGAGGGUGGACGGCCACAUUGGGACUGAGAUACGGCCCAGACUCCUACGGGAGGCAGCAGUGGGGAAUAUUGCACAAUGGGCGCAAGCCUGAUGCAGCGACGCCGCGUGGGGGAUGACGGCCUUCGGGUUGUAAACCUCUUUCGCUAGGGACGAAGCCAUCCUUUGGGGGUGGUGACGGUACCUGGAUAAGAAGCACCGGCUAACUACGUGCCAGCAGCCGCGGUAAUACGUAGGGUGCGAGCGUUGUCCGGAAUUACUGGGCGUAAAGAGCUCGUAGGUGGUUUGUCGCGUCGUCUGUGAAAUUCCGGGGCUUAACUCCGGGCGUGCAGGCGAUACGGGCAAUACUUGAGUGCUGUAGGGGAGACUGGAAUUCCUGGUGUAGCGGUGAAAUGCGCAGAUAUCAGGAGGAACACCAAUGGCGAAGGCAGGUCUCUGGGCAGUAACUGACGCUGAGGAGCGAAAGCAUGGGUAGCGAACAGGAUUAGAUACCCUGGUAGUCCAUGCCGUAAACGGUGGGCGCUAGGUGUAGGGGUCUUCCACGACUUCUGUGCCGUAGCUAACGCAUUAA